GGCCUGAUGCCACGUCUCUGUUAACCACGGCAUUGACCAGAGAUGCUAUGAUUGGGCCGAAACGAAGUUUUUUUUAACGUUUCACGUGUUGAUAGGAACCUGGGACUGCUUCUCUAUCUGUCCGCAGGGCCGGUUAAUGUGAUUAUAAUG
rfam:Zea mays cultivar B73 chromosome 4, whole genome shotgun sequence.